rnacentral:lncRNA from 1 species
UCAUGCCAUUGCACUCCAGCCUGGGUGACAGAGCGAGACUGUCUCAAAAAAAAAAAAAAAAUCUAUAUUCUGAGGCGCUACGAGCUAAAAUUAAUAGCAAACAUCAUUAAUGAAUGUUUGAUAAUCUGCCAAGCAUCAAAGUGCUAUAGAUGUAUAAUUUUACUUACCCCUUAUGGCUAUUUGAUAGAGGAACUAACAUUAUCCCCAUUUGAAAGACGAAGAAAGAGGAGCACAAAGACAUUGAGCAGAUUGCCCGAGGCUACCCAGCUAGUGAGUAGGAACAGGGACUUCAACCCAGCUUAUUGUGUCUUUUGAGAUAUAUUACCUCCCAGUCCUAAUGUGGUUAGAAUUCCCAGAAACCCAGAUCUGUAAAUGUCUGCAUGUGACUAUUCCAGUAGCAGAGCUGCACAUGAGACAGGCAGAAGGAUCAGCAAGUAUCAACUCGGGGACCUGCUAGCCAAACGUGGCACAGUCGAGCACUCUCUAUUUGUUCCUUCACUUUCCAGUUCUGUGGAGCUGUCUUGCCAAUAAAUAAAAGGAGGAAGAUUAAAGGAGAGAAGAUUUAAAGAGUGUGUGAAGAGCAAUUCAAAGUCUAGCACUGUUUCUGGAAAACAAUUUCAAGUUCAAGCCCAGUGAGGCCACUGCCAUGCACAGAAGACAGACAGCACCAUCAGACUGAGAUGAGAAAAGCAGGCUUAGAACGGAUUACAUAACUUGCUUACAGAGCCACAUUUGUAAAUGACUCCAGCAUAGUGUUAAAUGAUCGAUUUUUGGACUAUUCAAGCUUUUUAUAUCCAUUAACUCCAAUUAAUUGGAUGGACUUAUCUUCCUUGGUGACUUGGUUUAUCGUGUGAGCCAUUCUGGCAGAAGUUAGACUUCAUGUAACCCCAUAAUGAAUUCCUGUCUAGUAG